rnacentral:rRNA from 1 species
GAUGAACGCUAGCUACAGGCUUAACACAUGCAAGUCGAGGGGAAACGACAUCGAAAGCUUGCUUUUGAUGGGCGUCGACCGGCGCACGGGUGAGUAACGCGUAUCCAACCUGCCCACCACUUGGGGAUAACCUUGCGAAAGUAAGACUAAUACCCGAUGAUAUCACUAGACGACAUCUGAAAGGGAUUAAAGAUUUAUCGGUGAUGGAUGGGGAUGCGUCUGAUUAGCUUGUUGGCGGGGUAACGGCCCACCAAGGCGACGAUCAGUAGGGGUUCUGAGAGGAAGGUCCCCCACAUUGGAACUGAGACACGGUCCAAAACUCCUACGGGAGGCAGCAGUGAGGAAUAUUGGGUCAAUGGGCGAGAGCCCUGAACCAGCCAAGUAGCGUGCAGGACGACGGCCCUAUGGGUUGUAAACUGCUUUUAUAAGGGAAUAAAGUGAGUCUCGUGAGACUUUUUGCAUGUACCUUAUGAAUAAGGACCGGCUAAUUCCGUG